rnacentral:rRNA from 1 species
GACGAACGCUGGCGGCGUGCCUAAUACAUGCCAGUAGAACGCUGAAGCGAGGAGCUUGCUCUUCUUGGAUGAGUUGCGAACGGGUGAGUAACGCGUAGGUAACCUGCCUUGUAGCGGGGGAUAACUAUUGGAAACGAUAGCUAAUACCGCAUAACAAUGGAUGACACAUGUCAUUUAUUUGAAAGGGGCAAUUGCUCCACUACAAGAUGGACCUGCGUUGUAUUAGCUAGUAGGUGAGGUAAUGGCUCACCUAGGCGACGAUACAUAGCCGACCUGAGAGGGCGAUCGGCCACACUGGGACUGAGACACGGCCCAGACGCCUACGGGAGGCAGCAGUAGGGAAUCGUCGGCAAUGGGGGCAACCCUGACCGAGCAACGCCGCGUGAGUGAAGAAGGUUUUCGGAUCGUAAAGCUCUGUUGUAAGUCAAGAACGGGUGUGAGAGUGGAAAGUUCACACUGUGACGGUAGCUUACCAGAAAGGGACGGCUAACUACGUG